AUAAAAAUAAUUCCCUCAAUAAGUAAAGCAAAAGACACAGUUAACCAAAGUUGAGAGAUGGCAGAUAUUAAGUUGCUUGGUCUAUGGUAUAGCCCUUUUAGUAAAAGAGUUGAAUGGGCUCUUAAGACUAAGGGUGUGGAAUAUGAAUAUAUAGAAGAUGAUCUACAAAAUAAGAGCCUUUUACUUCUUCAAUCCAAUCCAAUUCACAAGAAAGUCCCUGUGCUCAUUCACAAUGGGAAGCCAAUUUGUGAGUCAAGUGUGAUUCUCGAAUACAUUGACGAGACAUUUGAAGGCCCUUCCAUCUUACCUAAAGACCCUUAUGAUCGAGCUUUAGCUCGUUUCUGGGCUAAAUUCUUCGAAGAUAAGGUAUAUCGACUCCUUAACUUGUCUCUACUCUGUUAAUUGAAUAUUCUAACUUAUAAAUGAUCAACUAUACAUCUCCAAAAUUUAUGUGGCAUGUCAUGAGGUGUCUACGAGACAUGUUAAAGAGUUGGAGUGCUUAAUUGUUAAUUGAGACCAAAUAUUUAGAUAUGCACAUUCAAAGUUAGAGUACUUAUUAUCGGAUACAACCAAGUCAGAAUGUCAUUUUAUAUAUAUUAUAUGUCUUGUGUAAAAUUGGACUAAAGUAAUAAAAUAUCACAUUGCCAACAAUAACUUAUUUGUGACUGACUAAUGUACUUCUAUUGUUGUAGAUUUAUAUCUUUAAAAUUUUGUUGAAUUCAAGUUCCAAUUGUUAUGUAGUGGCCAUCAAUGAUGAAAAGUCUAUUUUUCAAAGGAGAGGAGCAAGAGAAAGGUAAAGAGGAAGUUAAUGAGAUGUUGAAAAUUCUUGAUAAUGAGCUCAAGGACAAAAAGUUUUUUGUUGGUAACAACUUUGGAUUUGUUGAUGUUGUUGCAAAUGCUGUAGCCCUUUGGUUUGGAGUUCUUGAAGAAGUAAUUGGAGUUGUUUCGGUGACAAGUGAAAAAUUCCCAAAUUUUUGCGAUUGGAGAGAUGAAUACUACAUUCAAAACAAGGAAUAUUUACCGUCAAGAGAUGAAUUGUUUGCCCAUUACCAAGCUUACAUUCAACGUGUUGCUGCUUCAAAAUGAUUACUCCUCUAUUGAAUUUUAAGAUUUCGUGUGGCAAUAAAAAAUAGUGAUGUAUUUUUUGUGAAAUCAAUGGUAAUUGAAAUAUACACGUUAAAAAAGUGAUAAAGUUUUUAUCGGCAUUAGUUAAUUAUUAUUAGAUCUACUAUGACUUUAGACUUUAAGGACAUUUAUAAAGAAUGUUAAUUUAUCAUUAAAAUAUACAUCUAUAGCAGUAAUUAAGUUAUUGUCAUUAACUAAUUUCAUUAAAGAUCAUUUUUUAUAUAGUGAGAGAAAUUUUCCUCUCAUAGAAACAACUCACGAAUUUGAGUCUCACAUUUAAAAGACAGAAAAUCCGCAAGGAUCUAAAAGAAGAUUGUUGCUAUCCAGCUAUCUCGAAAUUCAAUGUACAAUUAAUAAGAAUUCAAAACCUUUUGAUUGUGGGGGCAAAAGUGAAAAGAACGCUUCACAAAAGAAUCUUCUACAGCACGUUCUGUAACCUUAGUUCUACUCCAAUUUUUGUGGUAUAUUUAUGAAUUUAAAUAUUUUUAACACUUAAUUAUUUUGUUUUAUUUUUAAAUCCAACUUGACUAUUAACAUUUUCUAUUCAAUUAUUGUUUGGGUGGUUGGUCAGUAAUUGUACAACAAUUAAUUAAAUACACCACUAAGUUUCUCAUGAUUGACUUAUGACUCAUGGUAUGAAAGCAAUUUUAUAUUGGCCUUCUAUGUUUCCAAGAGUAAACUUUAAGGAAAAGGGUAGAUGUAUCUUGAAUUAUAAGUAGAUAUUUUUUGUCAUUUUUUAGAAAUAUUAGUAUUUUUAUCAUUCAAAAAUUAGAGUAUGUGUACUAUUUAUAUUAAUGAAAAUAUACGUAUCAUAAUUUUAUUCAUCGACUCAUUAUCGGAUCGAUGGAUAAUAUUGCGCCACAUGUCCCUAUUUACACUUUUUCGUUAAAGUGAAGGGCAUAUCGCUCUAGUUUUUAGUCGGCAGGGACAUCAAUAUUCCAAAAAUAUGACAGAAGGUAUCUGCACAACAUUUACAAUGAUUAAAGGAUAUAUUUAUUCUUUUUCCCUAAAAUAUAUUACUUCCUCUCCUCUAUUUUAAUUCAUUUAUUUUUAAAAAAUUAUUAUUUUUAAUUCUAAUUUGACAUAAUAUUUUUUAAAAAAAUUGAAUCCUUGUGAUUAAAAUCGUCAAAUAAGGCUUGAUCUUUGAGGGCAAUCCAACUCAAAUUGUUAACUGGAAUACCAGAUAGAAUAGAGUUAAAAUUUUGCAAGGCAAUUCAAAAUUGGGGCUUAUAAGCCCAACAUCAGUCAGCUCGAGCCCUUGUGGCUUGAGUGACACUGGGUUGAGGCUCUCAGCCAAAAAGAUAUGUGGUUCAAAUUUAGUAAUUAAAAUAAAUUGCGAUAAAAGAAGUAAAAACUAAAUAUAUUGAUUGUCGAAUAUAUUUUAGUAUCUUCCUCUCCUUUAUUUUAAUUAUUUAUUUAAAAAAAAAAAAUUUUUAAAUUUUUACUUGACAUAAUGUUAUUUUUUAAAAUUGUAUCUUUGUGAUUAAAAUCGUCAAAUAAAGCUUAAUCUUUGAGGCCAACCCAACUCAUAUCAUUAACCGGAUAGAAUUGAGUUCAAAUUUUGCAAGGCAAUUCAAAAUUGGAGCUUAAAAGCCCAACAUCAAUCAACUCGCGACCCUUGAGGCUCCCGGCCAAAAAGAUAUGUGAUUCAAAUUUAAAAACUAAAAUAAAUUAUAAUAAAAGAAUUGAAAAGUAAAUAUAAUGAUUGUCGAAUACGUCUUAAUAUCUUAUCUUAGGCAAUACUUUAUUCAUUUAGCGUAAAUCCUAAUCUCCUCGUGAGCAAGUUGCAUGUAAUAUUGCGUAAAGUAAUUAGUAGUGUUGUCACGGCCCGAUGACACCCACACUUACCCUCCUAUGUGAGCGAACCAACCAAUCUAAACCUUAACAUUUCAAUAUAAUAUCAACAAAAGUAAUGCGGAAGACUUAAACUCAUUAAUAAAAACCAAUUCAAUAACUUCUAAAAACUCAACAACUAUUAUUAUCCCCAAAAUCUGGAAGUCAUCAUCACAAGAACAUCUACUUCAAAUUACUAAACUAAGAGUAUUCUAAUAAACUAAAAUAAGUAAAAGCUAGUCCAUGCCGGAAGUUCAAGGCAUCAAGACAUGAAGAGGAAGAUCCAGUCCAAGCUAGAAGCAUUAGCUCACCCUGAUAUCCGGAGUAAUGAAGACUGGCUAGAGUUGCGUUUGAGUUGAAGACGAUGGCACGUUUGCUGCACUCCACAAAUAACAAAGAAGAAAACAUAAAAGUAGGGGGUCAGUACAAAACACGGGUACUGAGUAGAUAUCAUCGGCCAACUAAAAAUAGAAAACAGUAUAUAUCAGAUAAUAUCAUAAAAUCAACUACAAUACUCAACAUGCGGCAUUUACAAUUACCAUAACCCUUGGUCAUAACACCAAUCUCAUCAAUGAGGACUCACGCCUCCCUAUCAUACUCAUUUGGGAUUUAGGUUCAUUAAAUUGAGUAUAUUAACAUAUUUCAAGAUUCAUUCUCUUUACUAAUCCUGGUGUCGGAACGUGACACUCCGAUCCUCAUCAUACUAUCCUGGUGUCGAAAUGUGACACUCCGAUCCUCAUAUACUAUCCUGGUACCGGAACGUGGCACCCGAUCCUCAUAUACUAUCCUGGUACCGGAACGUGGCACCCGAUCCUCAUAUACUAUCCUGGUACCGGAACGUGGCACCCGAUCCAUAUUCUAUCUUGGUGUCGGAACGUGACACUCCGAUCCUCAUAUACUAUUCUGGUACCGGAACGUGGCACCCGAUCCAUAUUCUAUCCUGGUGUCAGAACGUGACACUCCGAUCCUCAUAUACUAUCCUGGUAUUGGAACGUGGCACCCGAUCCCCUAAUCUCAUUACUUUCGUUCAUCAAGCCUUCUUUUAUACCAAGGAAUCAUCAUUAAAAAAGUAGAUUAGGGUUUCUUUUUCAAGAUUUAGGAUUCAAUAGCUUCAUCAUGCUUAUUUUAUCACAAUUAUAUAAUCACAACAUGCAAACACACAAUUAAGCAUAUAGAAGGGUUUACAACACUACCCAAUACAUAUCAUUCGCUAUUAAGAGUUUACUAUGAAAGAGCAUAAAAACCAUAACCUACCUCCACCGAAGAUUCGUGAUCAAGCAACAAGCUAAUCUUCAAAGUCUUUGCUUUCCUCUUCGUUUCUCCCCUUUCUCGUUCGAUUCUCUUUCUCUCUCUUCUGUUCUUUCUAUUUUUCUUAUUCAGGCUCUCUUUCUUUUACCCUAAUUAACAUAUAAUUAAGAAUAAAAGAUGGCAAUAAUAACCCACUAGUUUACUCAAGGUUACCUCUUUUAGCCCCCAAGUAAUUGAGUUAUUAAUAUUAAACCACUAACAUUAUAAUUAUAAGUCGGAAUAGUCAAAAACGUCCCUUAAAACAUUAAAGAAAUCCGACUCCGCCUAGGAUUACGCAGCCUGUGACGGGCCGUCGUGCCUGCGACGGUCCGUCCUGCUGCUCCGUCACAGAGUUCAGAGACUCAAUUCUCUGAAGAGUCUGUGACGGUCCGUCACGCCUGUGACGGUCCGUCCUGCCAUUCCGUUACGAAGUUCAGAGAGUCGAUUUCAGUACCCAUUUUUUAAAAUUUCUAAGUGUUUUGAAACGAGACACCCUCGACGGUCCGUCGUGCCCAUGACGGUCCGUCGUGGAUUCCGUCAUCUCAGCCUGUUUUUCCAGAAAUAAAAUCUGCUGCUCAAAACGACUAAACAGAUCGUUACAAUAGAUACCAAUUUACCCAUCGUUCGUCCCCGAACGAUCACAAGAAGGAAAACAAGGGCGAGAAGGAGUACCUGAAUCUGUAAACAGGUUUGGGUAUCUUUCUCGCAUAUCAGCCUCUUUCUCCCAAGUGGCUUCUUCGACGGGUCGAUUCUUCCAUUGAACUUUGAUGGAUGCAAUCUCCCUUGACCUUAGCUUGUGAACUUCUCUGUCUAAAAUGGCAACAGGUUCCUCCUCAUAAGACAAAUUCUCAUCAAGCAAAAUGGAAUCCCAACGGAUGAUGUAGUUUCCAUCCCCGUGGUAUCUUUUCAACAUAGACACAUGGAAUACCGGAUGCACUCCUGACAACCCUGGAGGCAAGGCUAACUCAUAAGCCACCUCCCCUACUCGCUUAAGUAUUUCAAAGGGACCAAUAUAUCUUGGGCUUAAUUUUCCCCUUUUACCAAAACGCAUCACCCCUUUCAUGGGUGAGACCUUCAGCAAGACCUGUUCACCCUCCAUAAACUCCAAGUCUCUAACCUUGCGAUCCGCAUAUUCCUUUUGCCUACUUUGCGCCGCUAGAAGCUUUUCUUGAAUAGAUUUCACUUUAUAUAACGAUUCCCUCAGAAGAUCAGUACCCCAAGGUCUAACUUCAAAUGCAUCAAACCACCCAAUGGGAGACCUACAUCUUCUCCCAUAUAGUGCCUCAAAUGGGCCAUAUCAAUGCUUGAGUGAUAGCUAUUGUUGUAGAAUUUAUUUUUUGUCGAGUGUUUAGUUUAUGAUUGCUCAAUUCGUUUUGUGUUUAGAUUAAAAAUUCUAUAAAAAGCUCCUUUAAUUUCUAAUUAUAUCUUUGAAUUAUUAUGAAUUUUCUAUUCAUGUAACUGGGUCAAGGUAGAUAAUUGCCGGACAAUUUUUUUAUGACCUUGUAACUAGCUAGGAGAAGAACAAUUUUAUUGUCAUGUUUACUAUUUUCUCACAUGAAUAAUUUUAGGAUAAAUAAUUGUCAUCUUAAUAAAUUGAUCACCUACGGAAUGUCAAUUUUCAAUGUUUCAUAUUUUUCUUAGAUCUUAUGAUUUUAAACAUGUCAUGUGAAAAAUUGAAACUAAAGAAUUGCUAAAAAAGAAAUAAAUAUUUUUUUUUAAAAAAUAUUCCUUUAUAGAAAAUAAAUAGUAUUUUCUACUAAAUUUUCUUUAAUUAAAUGUCUUGAAAAAGAGACAACUCUUUUAAGUGUUACGUAUUAUUAGACAUUUCAAUAAUUUAAAGAAUUCGAACUCACAACUCUAGCACGGAAAAUAUUCAAUUUCCAUGACCCAUUCCUUAUACUAACUUAUCAAUCAGUUUUGUUAGGAGUUCAUAAGAUAAUAUUGAUAAUAUUUUUAUAAUUUUGUAAUAAAUAUAAAAUUUACGAAAAAGUUCAUAUAUAUUCGAAUAAAAUUAUCCCAUUAUUUAUUUGAUUUAAAAUUUGAAUUUUCGUUGGAAUAAAAUUCUUCGUCCGAGAGAAAAGUAUCUUAGCUGUUCACAUGCUAAGGAACUAGGAAGUUUCGCCUUUGGUGGGCCAGUGAUUGUAUAUUUUAUUAUUUAAUAUAUAUCAAUUUCCUCAUCAAAUUGAAAAUGAAAGAUAAAAUCAACGGUAUUUUAAUUGUUAAUAUUUUCAAAUAAUAUUUUUUAAUUUUGUUUAGUUUUAAAAUUAAAAUACAUCAAAUAUAUUAAAAAUUCAUUAAUUUUAUAUGGCAAAGCACGCUACAUGAAAAAUUAAAAAAAAGGCCAUCAAACAAAUGAAAAGGAAUAUCGUUCGUAAAAUAAAUUAUAAAUAAAAAUAAAUUGAAUAAAUUAAAAAUAUAAGUAUAUUUUUAAAGAGUGAUUUUUCUAUCCACUAGAUUUGACCAAAAUGUUGGUGACAUGAGCGCACAAGUCAUCGUUAUUAUUGUAUUAUUCCUAAAAAAAAAAUAGGGAAGAUGUUCAAACAAGCGUCUAGUUAGUCAAAUAUAAUUUUUAAUAUUAAAAAAUUGAAUAGUCAAACAAGAAAAACAUUAAUAUAUCCCUAUUUUUUUCCUCUAUAAAUAAUAAAAAAGACUAUACACCAAGGGAGCCAAAAAAAAAAUUGAGAACCAAAGUUGAGAGAUGGCAGAAGUGAAGUUGCUUGGUCUAAGUUAUAGCCCUUUUAAUCAUAGAGUUGAAUGGGCUCUAAAGAUUAAGGGAGUGAAAUAUGAAUUUAUAGAAGAAGAUUUACAAAAUAAGAGUUCUUUACUUCUAGAAUCAAAUCCAAUUCACAAGAAAAUUCCAGUGCUAAUUCACAAUGGCAAGCCCAUUUGUGAGUCUAUGGUCAUUCUUGAAUACAUUGAUGAGGCAUUUGAAGGCCCUUCCAUUUUGCCUAAAGACCCUUAUGAUCGAGCUUUA
rnacentral:lncRNA from 1 species